CAUUUCCUUAAGUUUUGAUCUCCAUCUUCCUGAUGAAGCAGGCAGAGCUCAGAGGAUCUUGGCAUCACCCACCAAAGUUAGCUGAAAGCAGGGCACUCCUAGAUAAAGCAGCUUCACUCAACUCUGGGGAAUGCUACCAUUUUUUUUCCAAGGUAGAAAGGAAGCACUUCUGAGCCAGUGACCACUGAAAGAUGAACACUCUUCCUGAUCCCCUCCUCUAGAAUUCAUCUCCUCCUGCUAGCAGCCACGUCCUGGAGGAGCAGCGGAUGGGGAAUCCAUUCUGUUUCUUCCUAGUGUUUAGGAAGUUGCCCCACAAACAGAUUGCCCCGAUGUCCAACCAGAAGAAGUGAAACUGCUGCUGGGUCUGGAGAGGUGAAGACCCAUGGCCAGCUUCUGUUGUUGCCAUCUGCCAUUGCUUUUUGUUCGCUUGCUUUUGGUUUUGCAAGAAGCGCGGCCUCUGUCUCUGAUCUGCUUCAAAUCAUCAUUCCAUCAGUGAGAGAAGUGGCCGUUCCAUCAGUGGUCGCAGCCAGUUCAGCUCCUGCAUCCAUCCGCAAGUGUUCUGAGUGGAAUUUGAGGCCUCCCCAACCACCCACCAAAAAAGGAGGGUGAAAUGAAAGGAAGAAGAAAAACUCAGCAUUCUUUCCUCUGACAAAGAGUAAAACGACAAGGAAUAUCGGCCUGAAUUCUCUUCCCAAGAAGAAAGAAAUCACACCAACGCAGGCAUUUGUCUUCUGUCCAUGGUGCUGAAGUUUAUUCACUUUCAAACCACUUUCAGUAACAGCAAAUUCUUUACAAAAGGAAAAUACAGGGAAAGGGAUAAACCUCAUUGACCUGGAGGAAAUCAAGAGGAGUGAGCACAGCAUCAGAAAGCCCCCUGGCCCCAGACUGCACCCGCUUUCCUGGCCCUACCUUGAAAUCCAUCAGAUCUGCGUUGGACACGGCAUUGUACAUGGGAUUAGCUCUGGUCUGACCUAGGAGCUGGAAUGCCAGUAAAAGGAGGAAGCUCACGGUGGUGGUGGAGAAGGAGCUCAU
rnacentral:antisense_RNA from 1 species